GGUAUAACAAAUGUGUGUGCUAGGUGCAAAUUCAUCUAACCAUAUAAACUAUUAACAUCAGCACAUUAUGACAGUGGUUUAAUCCAAAGGAAUAACUUACACAGAGUCAAUAUAUUCGUCCAUUUGUGAAUAUACAAAAACCAUUGUAUAUUAAAGCAACAAUGGAACAAAGAUAUAUUACACUCUGUGUAUUGUUUGUUCUUUUGGCUACACCUGUCCAAGCUGAAAGAAAAGAAGGAUGGACCUCAGAUGAUGUUUGGUUUUAAACGAAGACAUAUGGAGGUGCUGUAUUAUUUGGAGUAGGUGUGGUAGCUGUAGCACCCAUCGUUCUUAACGAAGAUGUCUUAAACAAUGAUGCUAUGGCAGAUAGAAGGCAUGUACGGUUUGCCGUUGCCAAUGUUGGAAUGGUAGUAGCCGGAAGAGUUGUUGCCUUCCUUAAGUCAGAAUUCUGCCGGAAUUUUCGUUUGGGUAAAGGCUUCGAUAGUCGAAUGUUCAGAUAUUUUUUUGGAGGGUGCUCAGAAUUUGACAUUGAAUGUAUAAAGAAAAAUAAAUGAACCGAUGUUUUGAUAAACUUUUACUUUUCAAAUACUGAAACACCUUUUGAAAAUGUCAAAUACCUAAAACCAGAAUAUUGAAUUAAAUUAUAUUUGUUGA